UAGGUGUCUAUAUGUAGGGAACAU
rnacentral:siRNA from 1 species